rnacentral:rRNA from 1 species
CCCGAAUACCUGCGAUCUAACCAUCUGUGUUACAUCAUUCUUCCUUGAGCCUAGUGAAGAUUGAAAUGUGGAGGGUUACAAACCUGCCAUACUACUGAUAGUUUGAGGUUAAAUGUCAUACGAGCUGUGUUAAUAUCUGGAUGUGUUCGAAACCUGUAUAGGUU